UGGGGAAUUUUGGACAAUGGGCGAAAGCCUGAUCCAGCAAUGCCGCGUGUGUGAAGAAGGCCUUCGGGUUGUAAAGUACUUUUGUCCGGAAAGAAAUCCUUGGCUCUAAUACAGUCGGGGGAUGACGGUACCGGAAGAAUAAGCACCGGCUAACUACGUGCCAGCAGCCGCGGUAAUACGUAGGGUGCAAGCGUUAAUCGGAAUUACUGGGCGUAAAGCGUGCGCAGGCGGUUUGCUAAGACCGAUGUGAAAUCCCCGGGCUCAACCUGGGAACUGCAUUGGUGACUGGCAGGCUAGAGUAUGGCAGAGGGGGGUAGAAUUCCACGUGUAGCAGUGAAAUGCGUAGAGAUGUGGAGGAAUACCGAUGGCGAAGGCAGCCCCCUGGGCCAAUACUGACGCUCAUGCACGAAAGCGUGGGGAGCAAACAGGAUUAGAUACCCUGGUAGUCCACGCCCUAAACGAUGUCAACUAGUUGUUGGGGAUUCAUUUCCUUAGUAACGUAGCUAACGCGUGAAGUUGACCGCCUGGGGAGUACGGUCGCAAGAUUAAAACUUAAAUGAAUUGACGGGGUCAUAGCUGUUUCCU
rnacentral:rRNA from 1 species